GCGAGACAACACGCCGCCGUCCUGCUCCCACACACAGAAGGUCUCCUGCUGCAGGAGCUUCCCCUGAGACGUCAACUUCCCCUGGAGACAGAGGACCAGCGGUACCUUCAGGGUGUUUCCGGUUCCAGAGCCGCUGCGUUUGGGCCCUGGAGAGCCCACAGCGCCCCCUGGAGCCACGCCCACUCCGAACACUGUGGGGGAGCUGACACCUGAGAAAGCAGAGCAGUCCCAGCAUGCACCUCUGCCUCGCCGCAUGUUUCCACAUCAGAACAUUCAGAACGUGAGAAGAAGACGUGACGAGAGACGAGGCUGAGACGUGUUUGUGUCCAGGAAUCAAACUACAGUCACAAGGGGCGGGGCUAACGCGAGGGGUGGGGCCACAGCACUGGGUGUGGCUUAUUGAGACUUGAGUGACAACAAGGACAGAAGUCGCCACUAAGAGAUAAUUGACAUGUAUAAAUAUAUAUAUAAUGAUUUAAAAUAUCAUAACUGACUAAAAUCGAAAUGAAAAUUAAAAAUAAACCUUUAAUUUAUAGGAAAAAUAAGUUAAAUAAGUUAAAUUAAAUUGAAAACAAAUUAAGUUUCAAUCCAAUUUAAAAAAAGCAAAUUGAUAUAUGACAUUAAAAGUAAUAAUUCAGAUAAACUAAACUAGAAUAAUCUGUAAAAAUAUAAUUACAUCUAAAAGAGUCAUAUACAAAAUAAAGAAUAAAAUGAAUGAAGACUAAAUCGAAAAUAUGUGAAACAAGAAAGAUGUAAAUUCACCAGAGAUCGACCUGAAAACAACCAGUUUAUUUUUAAACAGAAACUCCCAUUGUCUUCUGGUGAGGAAGAAGAGCCAGCAGGUAUCCACACACACAGUGACACACACAGACACACACAAAGACACACACCCUGAGGCAGGAUGUGAAACUGAAGAUUCCUGUUGAGUCUGAAACUUGUUCAGGUCAAUGUUUAACCUGAAACUCUCAUCUCUGGGCUCUGAGUGUGUCUGUGUGUGUCUCUGUGUGUUUGUGAGUGAAACUGACGUUUAGUUCAUUUAUUUAUUAACUUUAUUUACUUUAUAACUGAUUUGGACAUGUGCUCUGCUGUUUCUUUUGGGAACAUUUAUCCUGUUGUUGAUUAUUUAGUUAGUUCAUUUUGUUCCAUUGAGAUAUUUUGUGUUUGCUGUUGACGUUGAGGGAGAAUUGAGAUAUUUGUGACCAAUGGGGACAUUUGGUUUGUUGAGUUUACGAUUUACAGUUUGUGUAAAAUGUCAACAUACAAAGAGACGUCACAUUCUGACCACACAGCAGGUUGCAUCGUUCAGGCUUCACACACCGACACACGCUCAAUAUUUAGUGAACUCCGUCCGACAGGAAGCAGGAGACACGGAUGUUUAAAGUUCCCUCUGUUCAAACAGGAAGUGACACGAAACCAAAAUGGACGAGCUGCCGCAGAGACAUGGUGACCGGGUCCAAGGUCGUCAGUAACUGAAACUGUAAUCAGAUUACUACCUUACUCUUCAAUGAGUGGAGAAUUAGAUUGAGCUCGAGCUCUUUUACCAUGAAGUUAUUAUUGUUUAUCUUGAGUCCAGGUGGAGUUCUGUGUUCGACCAGGAGGUGGCGCCCUGCAGGGAGAUGAACCUACCUUUGCUGACGGUGGAGGAGGCGUUGGAGGAGGAGGUGGUGGUGGAGGAGUUGCAGGAG